rnacentral:rRNA from 1 species
AUUGAACGCUGGCGGCAGGCCUAACACAUGCAAGUCGAACGAGUGGCGGACGGGUGAGUAAUGUCUGGGAAACUGCCCGAUGGAGGGGGAUAACUACUGGAAACGGUAGCUAAUACCGCAUACCAUCGGAUGUUCCCAGAUGGUAUUAGCCAGUAGGUGGGGUAAUGGCUCACCUAGGCGACGAUCCCUAGCUGGUCUGAGAGGAUGACCGGCCACACUGGAACUGAGACACGGUCCAGACGCCUACGGGAGGCAGCAGUGGGGAAUAUUGCGCAAUGGGCGAAAGCCUGAUGCAGCCAUGCCGCGUGAAUGAAGAAGGCCUUAGGGUUGUAAAGUACUUUCAGCGAGGAGGCGUUACUCGCAGAAGAAGCACCGGCUAACUCCGUGCCAGCAGCCGCGGUAAUAC